AGCGAACGCUGGCGGCAGGCUUAACACAUGCAAGUCGAACGGGCUUCUUCGGAAGUCAGUGGCAGACGGGUGGGUAACGCGUGGGAACGUGCCCUUCGGUUCGGAAUAACUCAGGGAAACUUGAGCUAAUACCGGAUACGCCCUUUUGGGGAAAGGUUUACUGCCGAAGGAUCGACCCGCGUCUGAUUAGAUUGUUGGUGGGGUAACGGCAUACCAAGGCGCCGAUGAGUAGCUGGGCUGAGAGGAAGAUCAACGACACUGGGACUGAGACACGGCCCAGAAUCCUACGGGAGGGAGCAGUGGAGAAUAUUGGACAAUGGGCGCAAGCCUGAACCAGCCAUGCCGCGUGAGUGAUGAAGGCCUUAGGGUUGUAAAGCUCUUUUGUCCGGGACGAUAAUGACGGUACCGGAAGAAUAAGCCCCGGCUAACUACGUG
rnacentral:rRNA from 1 species